rnacentral:lncRNA from 1 species
AUUUCUGAAUUAUUCAGUGUUGUCCACGUACUAGUUGUCAUAAACAGACUUUCGAUCUCUUUAUGAUGGCAGUACAGCAGAUCACUUAAGGAUUGCUAAGACAUGAAUUAACGUUUCUAACACUUGACAAAGUUACAACAUCCUACGUUGAAAAUGGACUAGACGAUACUGAUAAUAAUAAUGGUUUUAUGCAAAAUUGCAGUGCAACAGAUCACUCAAGGCUUGCUGAGCAUGAAUUAACAUUUUU